GACGAACGCUGGCGGCGUGCUUAACACAUGCAAGUAGAACGGAAAGGCCCGGCUUUUGUGGGGUGCUCGAGUGGCGAACGGGUGAGUAACACGUGAGUAACCUGACCUUGACGUUGGGAUAACUUCAGGAAACUGGGGCUAAUACCGGAUAUGAGCUCCUGCUGCAUGGUGGGGGUUGGAAAGUUUCGGCGGGUGGGGAUGGACUCGCGGCUUAUCAGCUUGUUGGUGGGGUAGUGGCUUACCAAGGCUUUGACGGGUAGCCGGCCUGGGAGGGUGACCGGCCACAUUGGGACUGAGGUACGGCCCAGACUCCUACGGGAGGCAGCAGUGGGGAAUAUUGCACAAUGGGCGGAAGACUGAUGCAGCAACGCCGCGUGCGGGAUGACGGCCUUCGGGUUGUAAACCGCUUUCGCCUGUGACGAAGCGUGAGUGACGGUAAUGGGUAAAGAAGCACCGGCUAACUACGUG
rnacentral:rRNA from 1 species